CCUUACUGAGCAAGUAGCAACAGUCACAUUUUAAAGGCCAUAACAGUAGUCAGAUGGGAAAUUUUUACCAACUGAGCAUCAAUCGGGAACUCUUUGCUUUCAGUUUUGCAGCUGUGUUGCAAUAAGUUGACUGGGAGUGUACCAACUCAACUGGGUUCUCUGAAGAAGCUUAAUGUCCUUGCUUUACAAUAUAAUCAUUUAACUGGUG
rnacentral:misc_RNA from 1 species